rnacentral:rRNA from 1 species
GUUAGGAAUAUUGGACAAUGGGCGAAAGCCUGAUCCAGCCAUGCCGCGUGAACGAUGAAGGCCUUCGGGUUGUAAAGUUCUUUAGCCGAUGAUUAUAAUGACUGUAGUCGGAAAAUAAGCCCCGGCUAACUUCGUGCCAGCAGCCGCGGUAAUACGAAGGGGGCGAGCGUUAUUCGGAAUCACUGGGCGUAAAGCGUGCGUAGGCGGUUUUGUAAGUUAGGAGUGAAAGCCCAGGGCUCAACCUUGGAAUUGCUCUUAAAACUGCAAGGCUCGAAUCUCGGAGAGGAUAGCGGAAUUUCCAGUGUAGCAGUGAAAUGCGUAGAUAUUGGAAGGAACACCAGUGGCGUAAGCGGCUAUCUGGACGAGUAUUGACGCUGAGGCACGAAAGCGUGGGGAGCAAACAGGAUUAGAUACCCGUGUAGUCC